CAUAAUUAUUUAUUCUUUUUGUGCUGUAGGACUGAAAUGAAAGGACAGGACUUCUACUCUGCUGGGUCGGCCUCACUACAUAUUCAAGAAGCCCUCGGACGUCAUCAGAAUGUAUUAAUGUGAAGAGGCAACAAGGGAGAGAUGAACGCUAUCAAAAAUGUGGAGAUGGAUCUGGCAGCCGACCGCUUUGGCACACACCCAACAAGAAACAAAACAAUAAAGAAUACUAAAAUGCAUAA